CGCCUGCCAGGAUGGUCCUGCCUGCAGCUGCCUACUUGUCAUGUUCCUGCACCGUGGGCCUUACAGAUCAAGAAACUGAGGCCCAGAAUGGAGAAAAGAAUUAACUAGAACAACCAUCUCUGGAAUAACUUCAUUUGCCAGGACUGUGGCAUUCCUCUGUGGCUCUGAAGUGUGGCUUGCUCCUGACUCCAGAAGCAGGCGUCCCAGACAUUGGGGAAGAAGGAGGAGAUGUUCUCUCAGGCCACCUCCCAGAGGAGAUGUGGACUGUGCCUGCAGACCCUUCCAUUUCCUACCAAGUGUGGGACAGGUGGGCCAGAUCGUGUCCACGUUUGGAGAUGGCAUUAGAGGGGAUGUGGUUCAGCUUCUACGGCUCCCCUGCCUGGGAGAUUGGGAUGGAGAGAGCCCUUUGCCCCUGAGCCCACUUGAGCUGCUUUCCUCAGGCUGCCUUGCCCUCAGAACCUCGGGACCAGAGGGUGAGCCUGCCUCCUGUGGGCCACAACCCUCUCAAGAAGGGCAAGAAGCCCACCAGCCCUGCGGGGAGAGGAGCAUUGAGGGGAUUAAAUAAAUUGGCACUUAAUUUUUUUUUAAUUCAUUUUUUUUUCUUUUUUUUUUAAAAAUUUAUUUAUGAUAGUCACAGAGAGAGAGAGAGAGAGAGAGGCAGAGACACAGGCGGAGGAAGAAGCAGGCUCCAUGCACAGGGAGCCUGAUGUGGGAUUCGAUCCCGAGUCUCCAGGAUCGCGUCCUGGGCCAAAGGCAGGCGCCAAACCGCUGCGCCACCCAGGGAUCCCAAUUGGCACUUAAUUAACAACAUCACAUUUCCAGAAGCAGUCCCCCCUUAUCUGUGGGCUUAUCCCCCAGUGGAUGCUGAAACUGCGGAUAGCACUGAAGCUUCUAUACACUAUGUUUUUUCCUACACAUACAUGUCCAUGAUAAAGUUUAAUUUAUAAAUUAGGCACAGUAAUAG
rnacentral:lncRNA from 1 species